GAUGAACGCUGGCGGCGUGCUUAACACAUGCAAGUCGAACGGAAAGGCCCUGCUUUUGUGGGGUGCUCGAGUGGCGAACGGGUGAGUAACACGUGAGUAACCUGCCCUCGACUUUGGGAUAACUUCAGGAAACUGGGGCUAAUACCGGAUAGGAGCUCCUGCUGCAUGGUGGGGGUUGGAAAGUUUCGGCGGUUGGGGAUGGACUCGCGGCUUAUCAGCUUGUUGGUGGGGUAGUGGCUUACCAAGGCUUUGACGGGUAGCCGGCCUGAGAGGGUGACCGGCCACAUUGGGACUGAGAUACGGCCCAGACUCCAACGGGAGGCAGCAGUGGGGAAUAUUGCACAAUGGGCGGAAGCCUGAUGCAGCAACGCCGCGUGCGGGAUGACGGCCUUCGGGUUGUAAACCGCUUUCGCCUGUGACGAAGCGUGAGUGACGGUAAUGGGUAAAGAAGCACCGGCUAACUACGUG
rnacentral:rRNA from 1 species